UUGUUAUGUGGACCUCUGUCCUUGUGCCUCUGGUGCAGAGACGGAACCACAUAAGCAGGUGAAACUUCUUAGAGGAACUGGCGCCCGAAAAGGCGCACGAGAAAGAGCAAUAACAGGUCUGUGAUGCCCUAAGAUGUCCGGGGCCGCACGCGUGCUACAAUGACGAUGCUACUGAGCAUGAUUUACUUGUCCGAAAGGAUUGGUGAAACUGUUCAAUCAUCGUCGUGACUGGGAUUGAGGUUUGUAAUUAUCCCUCAUGAACCAGGAAUUCCUAGUAAGCACAAGUCAUAAGCUUGUGCUGAUUACGUCCCUGCCCUUUGUACACACCGCCCGUCGCUACUACCGAUUGAAUGGUUUAGCAAGGACAUUGGAUCGAGCCUUUGCGGUUCACGCUGCUUUGGUUUGAGAAGAUGUCCGAACUUGAUCAUUUAGAGGAAGUAAAAGUCGUAACAAGGUUUCCGUAGGUGAACCUGCGGAAGGAUCAUUA
rnacentral:rRNA from 1 species